rnacentral:rRNA from 1 species
UACGAGAGGCCCAAACGUUAUUCGGAUUUACUGGGCUUAAAGAGUUCGUAGGCCGCGCAGAAAGUAGGGUGUGAAAGCCCUCGGCUCAACCGAGGAACUGCGCUCUAAACUACCGUGCUUGAGGAACCUAGAGGUGAGCAGAACUGAUGGUGGAGCGGUGAAAUGCGUUGAUAUCAUCAGGAAUACCGGAGGCGAAGGCGGCUCACUGGGGGUUUUCUGACGCUGAGGAACGAAAGCCAGGGGAGCAAACGGG